rnacentral:rRNA from 1 species
AUUGAACGCUGGCGGCAUGCCUUACACAUGCAAGUCGAACGGCAGCGCGGGAGCAAUCCUGGUGGCGAGUGGCGAACGGGUGAGUAAUAUAUCGGAACGUGCCCAGUCGUGGGGAUAACGUAGCGAAAGCUACGCUAAUACCGCAUACGAUCUAUGGAUGAAAGCGGGGGAUCGCAAGACCUCGCGCGAUUGGAGCGGCCGAUAUCAGAUUAGGUAGUUGGUGAGGUAAAGGCUCACCAAGCCGACGAUCUGUAGCUGGUCUGAGAGGACGACCAGCCACACUGGGACUGAGACACGGCCCAGACUCCUACGGGAGGCAGCAGUGGGGAAUUUUGGACAAUGGGCGCAAGCCUGAUCCAGCAAUGCCGCGUGCAGGAUGAAGGCCUUCGGGUUGUAAACUGCUUUGUACGGAACGAAACGGUGAGACUCUAAUACAGUUUGCUAAUGACGGUACCGUAA